AACGAACGCUGGCGGCAUGCCUAACACAUGCAAGUCGAACGCAGUGGCGCACGGGUGCGUAACGCGUGGGAAUCUGAACUUAGGUUCGGACUAACAGCUGGAAACGGCUGCUAAUACCGGAUGCCUGAGGAUGAGCCCGCGUUGGAUUAGGUAGUUGGUGGGGUAAAGGCCUACCAGGCCGACGAUACAUAGCUGGGCUGGGAGGAUGAUCAGCAACACUGGGACUGAGACACGGCCCAGACUUCUACGGGUGGCAGCAGUGGGGAAUAUUGGACAAGGGGCGAAAGCCUGAGCUAUCCAUGCCGUGUGAGUGAUUAAUGCCCUAGGGUUGUAAAGCUCUGUUACCCGGGAAGCGGUACCUGGAGAAUAAGCCCCGGCUAACUCCGUGCCAGCAGCCGCGGUAAUAC
rnacentral:rRNA from 1 species